GCUUGAGUAGCUCAGUUGGGAGAGCGUUAGACUGAAGAUCUAAAGGUCAUGUGUUCAAUCCACAUCUCGAGCA